CGGCGAGUGAAGCGGCAAAAGCUCAAAUUUGAAAUCUGGCACCUUCGGUGUCCGAGUUGUAAUUUGAAGAAGGUAACUUUGGCAGCUUGGCUCUUGGUCUAUGAUUCCUUGGAACAGGACGUCACAGAGGGUGAGAAUCCCGUGCGAUGAGAUGCCCAAUUCUAUGUAAAGUGCUUUCGAAGAGUCGAGUUGUUUGGGGAAUGCAGCUCUAAGUGGGUGGGUAAUUCCAUCUAAAGCUAAAUAUUGGCGAGAGACCGAUAGCGAACAAGUACAGUGAUGGAAAGAUGAAAAGAACUUUGAAAAGAGAGUGAAAAAGUACGUGAAAUUUGUUGAAAGGGAAAGGGCUUGAGAUCAGACUUGGUUAUUUUUGCGGAUUCCCUUUUUCCCUUUCUUUGGGUUUGGGGUUUCCCUCCGGCCAAGGCUUUACUUGGGGCCCAGGCCAUUCCGGGUUUGGGAUUGGGGUAAGGGAUUAAAUUGGAACCUUAAAGGGAAAUUGGUUGGGGCCUUCCUUAACUUUUCCG
rnacentral:rRNA from 1 species